UCCAGGUGAGAUGCAGGGCCUGCUCU
rnacentral:misc_RNA from 1 species